rnacentral:rRNA from 1 species
UACAGAGGGUGCAAGCGUUAAUCGGAAUUACUGGGCGUAAAGCGAGCGUAGGUGGCUUGAUAAGUCAGAUGUGAAAUCCCCGGGCUUAACCUGGGAACUGCAUCUGAUACUGUUAGGCUAGAAUAGGUGAGAGGAAGGUAGAAUUCCAGGUGUAGCGGUGAAAUGCGUAGAGAUCUGGAGGAAUACCGAUGGCGAAGGCAGCCUUCUGGCAUCAUAUUGACACUGAGGUUCGAAAGCGUGGGUAGCAAACAGG